AAUGGAAUUGCUGGGUUAAAUGGUAAUUCUAUGUUUAACUUUUUGAGUAAUCACCAAACUGAUUUCCCCAGUAACUGCACCAUUUCACAUUUCCCCUAGUAAG
rnacentral:pre_miRNA from 1 species